UACGUAGGGGGCAAGCGUUGUCCGGAUUUAUUGGGCGUAAAGAGCGUGUAGGCGGCCAUGCAGGUCAGCUGUGAAAACUCGAGACUCAACCUCGAGACGUCGGUUGAAACCGUAUGGCUAGAGUCCGGAAGAGGAGAGUGGAAUUCCCGGUGUAGCGGUGAAAUGCGCAGAUAUCGGGAAGAACACCCGUGGCGAAGGCGGCUCUCUGGGACGGUACUGACGCUGAGACGCGAAAGCGUGGGGAGCGAACAGG
rnacentral:rRNA from 1 species